GACGAACGCUGGCGGCGUGCCUAAUACAUGCAAGUCGAACGAACCGCGACUAGGUGCUUGCACUUGGUCAAGGUGAGUGGCGAACGGGUGAGUAACACGUGGGUAACCUACCUCAUAGUGGGGGAUAACAGUCGGAAACGACUGCUAAAACCGCAUAGGACAUAGGAUCACAUGAUCCAGUGAGGAAAGGUGGCGCAAGCUAUCGCUAAGAGAUGGACCCGCGGUGCAUUAGCUAGUUGGUAGGGUAAAGGCCUACCAAGGCGAUGAUGCAUAGCCGACCUGAGAGGGUGAUCGGCCACAUUGGGACUGAGACACGGCCCAAACUCCUACGGGAGGCAGCAGUAGGGAAUCUUCCGCAAUGGACGCAAGUCUGACGGAGCAACGCCGCGUGAGUGAAGAAGGUCUUCGGAUCGUAAAGCUCUGUUGUCAGAGAAGAACAGCGCAUAGAGUAACUGUUAUGCGUGUGACGGUAUCUAACCAGAAAGCCACGGCUAACUACGUG
rnacentral:rRNA from 1 species